GGAGUAAUGCGUGACCAACCUGCCCCAUGCUCCAGAAUAGCUCUUGGAAACGGGUGGUAAUGCUGGAUGCUCCAACUUGACGCAUGUCUUGUUGGGAAAGUGUUUAGUGGCAUGGGAUGGGGUCGCGUCCUAUCAGCUUGUAGGCGGGGUAAUGGCCCACCUAGGCUUCGACGGGUAGCCGGCCUGAGAGGGCGGACGGCCACAUCGGGACUGAGAUACGGCCCAGACUCCUACGGGAGGCAGCAGAU
rnacentral:rRNA from 1 species